CUUAGGUCAAAGCAAAAAUCUAGAGCAGUCUGAGGGAGAAAAAAAAAAAAAUUCCCGAGAUGCAUCAUACACCUCAGUUGAGGAGGGCAAUAUGCUGCCUGCCGUUUGCUCUGGUGAAGGCUGGUGCCUGUCACAUGUGCCUCAGGCCUUCCUGCUCUGGCAUCUGCCUUCUGAGUCAUUGUGGCUUGGGGGAGAAUCCUCAAACAUCAGGCUGCCUAACCACCAUCUGACUCGUAGUCUGUUGCCCUAAAACUCUGAAGUGGCCUCCUUUGUCUGUCAUUUCCCUGAAACUGAAUUGUUCUUCAUGAAGGUGUCUAAACCGUAAGUUUUAACGGCCCCUUGCACAAGUAAGUAAAUUCUGUUACUUACUAAUUUUUCUCUUACUAAUCUUUUGUCUGUUUUUCAGGUCCAGAUAGAGAACUUAGGAGGGCAAGAAGAGAAGGGUUUGUUUUUGUUUUCUCUUUUUCUACUGCAUUUUGAUGGGACUACAAAAUACUAGUCUAGGUCCUUGGAGUCAGAGAACAAUGAAAAGGAAGUUAAGGCCUACCAGGCUGUGAGUUGAGCCAACCGUGAGUCUGACAGUUGCUGUCAGUGGUCCUGAUCCUGCCCAGCCAAUGAGGGGUGACUACCCGAUCCUGCGUGAGGCCCUAGCAACAGGAGCUGUCAUCGGUCCUGAUUGUGCCUAGCCAAUGAAGGGCGACUAGGAAAUGCCAAUGGAUCAGAACAUCUGGGUGCAGGGAGAGUAUAUAAGUUUUACCCAUUGCUAAAUAAACAAGUCU
rnacentral:lncRNA from 1 species